rnacentral:rRNA from 1 species
UUGCGGUUAAAAGCUCGUAGUUGGAUUUCUGUCGAGGGUGGGCGGUCCGCACUAUGUGCGUGUAUCUGUUACGGCCUUGGCAUCCUCUUGGGGAACGUGUCUGUGCUUGAUUGCAUGGCGCGGUAUUCAAGACUUUUACUUUGAGGAAAUUAGAGUGUUCACGGCAAGCAUAGCUUUGAAUACAUUAGCAUGGAAUAAUAAUAUAGGACAUUCGUACUAUUUUGUUGGUUUCUAGAACGAGUGUAAUGAUUAAUAGGGAUAAUUGGGGGCAUUCGUAUUAACGCGUCAGAGGUGGAAUUCUUGGAUUGCGUUACGACGAACUACUGCGAAAGCAUUUGCCAAGGAUGUUUUCAUUGAUCAAGAACGAAAGUAUGGGGAUCGAAGACGAUUAGAUACCGUCGUAUUUUAUACCAUAAACUAUGCCAACUAGAGAUGGGAGGUCGUUCUUUUUAUGACUCCUUCCGCACCUUAUGAGAAAUCAAAGUUUUUGGGUUCCGGGGGGAGUAUGGUCGCAAGGCUGAAACUUAAAGGAAUUGACGGAAGGGCACCACCAGGAGUGGAGCCUGCGGCUUAAUUUGACUCAACACGGGAAAACUCACCAGGUCCAGACAUAGUAAGGAUUGACAGAUUGAUGACUCUUUCUUGAUUCUAUGGGUGGUGGUGCAUGGCCGUCCUUAGUUGGUGGAGUGAUUUGUUUGGUUAAUUCCGUUAACGAACGAGACCUUAACCUGCUAAAUAGUGGUGCGUAUCUUCGGAUAUA